rnacentral:rRNA from 1 species
AAUGGGUCAGCGACUUAUAUUCUGUAGCAAGGUUAACCGUAUAGGGGAGCCGAAGGGAAACCGAGUCUUAACUGGGCGUUAAGUUGCAGGGUAUAGACCCGAAACCCGGUGAUCUAGCCAUGGGCAGGUUGAAGGUUGGGUAACACUAACUGGAGGACCGAACCGACUAAUGUUGAAAAAUUAGCGGAUGACCUGUGGCUGGGGGUGAAAGGCCAAUCAAACCGGGAGAUAGCUGGUUCUCCCCGAAAGCUAUUUAGGUAGCGCCUCGUGAACUCAUCUUCGGGGGUAGAGCACUGUUUCGGCUAGGGGGCCAUCCCGGCUUACCAACCCGAUGCAAACUACGAAUACCGAAGAAUGUUAUCACGGGAGACACACGGCGGGUGCUAACGUCCGUCGUGAAGAGGGAAACAACCCAGACCGCCAGCUAAGGUCCCAAAGUCAUGGUUAAGUGGGAAACGAUGUGGGAAGGCACAGACAGCCAGGAUGUUGGCUUAGAAGCAGCCAUCAUUUAAAGAAAGCGUAAUAGCUCACUGGUCGAGUCGGCCUGCGCGGAAGAUGUAACGGGGCUAAACCAUGCACCGAAGCUGCGGCAGCGACGCUUAUGCGUUGUUGGGUAGGGGAGCGUUCUGUAAGCCGUUGAAGGUGUGCUGUGAGGCAUGCUGGAGGUAUCAGAAGUGCGAAUGCUGACAUAAGUAACGAUAAAGCGGGUGAAAAGCCCGCUCGCCGGAAGACCAAGGGUUCCUGUCCAACGUUAAUCGGGGCAGGGUGAGUCGACCCCUAAGGCGAGGCCGAAAGGCGUAGUCGAUGGGAAACAGGUUAAUAUUCCUGUACUUGGUGUUACUGCGAAGGGGGGACGGAGAAGGCUAUGUCAGCCGGGCGACGGUUGUCCCGGUUUAAGCAUGUAGGCGGAGGUUCCAGGUAAAUCCGGUACCUUGUUAACGCUGAGGUGUGAUGACGAGGCACUACGGUGCUGAAGUGAUAAAUGCCCUGCUUCCAGGAAAAGCCUCUAAGCAUCAGGUAACACGAAAUCGUACCCCAAACCGACACAGGUGGUCAGGUAGAGAAUACCAAGGCGCUUGAGAGAACUCGGGUGAAGGAACUAGGCAAAAUGGUGCCGUAACU